rnacentral:lncRNA from 1 species
CUGAUUUAUGUACACAUUAUAUAUCCAAAUAAUUAUGGAAAAUCAAUACCAUAUUAAUUAUCUUCCCUUUCAUGAAUCAGUUCGAUAUUUGGCAUUAACAGACAAGAAUUAACUAUUUUAAAAUCAGUGAUCUCAAUUAUAUGUAACUGUAUUUAUAAAGUUUUUGCUGUUUGAACAAGUAUAAACAUUUCAAAUUUCCAAUACCAAACAUAGCUAAUAUUCAAAGAUUAACAUUCAUGUCUUCAUACUUCACAGUCAACUUGAACCAAAAUACGCU